UACGUAGGGUGCGAGCGUUAAUCGGAAUUACUGGGCGUAAAGUGUGCGCAGGCGGCCGAGCAAGUCGAGUGUGAAAGCCCCGAGCUUAACUUGGGAACUGCGCUCGAAACUACUUGGCUGGAGUGUGGCAGAGGAAGGUGGGAUUCCACGUGUAGCGGUGAAAUGCGUAGAGAUGUGGAGGAACACCGAUGGCGAAGGCAGCCUUCUGGGCCAACACUGACGCUCAUGCACGAAAGCGUGGGGAGCAAACAGG
rnacentral:rRNA from 1 species